GGAAUAUUGGACAAUGGACCAAAAGUCUGAUCCAGCAAUUCUGUGUGCACGAUGACGUUUUUCGGAAUGUAAAGUGCUUUCAGUUGGGAAGAAAAAAAUGACGGUACCAACAGAAGAAGUGACGGCUAAAUACGUGCCAGCAGCCGCGGUAAUACGUAUGUCACAAGCGUUAUCCGGAUUUAUUGGGCGUAAAGCGCGUCUAGGUGGUUAUGUAAGUCUGAUGUGAAAAUGCAGGGCUCAACUCUGUAUUGCGUUGGAAACUGCAUGACUAGAGUACUGGAGAGGUAAGCGGAACUACAAGUGUAGAGGUGAAAUUCGUAGAUAUUUGUAGGAAUGCCGAUGGGGAAGCCAGCUUACUGGACAGAUACUGACGCUAAAGCGCGAAAGCGUGGGUAGCAAACAGGA
rnacentral:misc_RNA from 1 species